GUGAUGUGAACAGAGAGAGAGAGAGGAAGAGAGUGUGAGAGCUCCUCAGUUGCCUUAGCAGCGCAGCCUCAUUCCUCCACAGUCGGGCUUCAGUCCGCUGUACUGCGCGCUUCACGGGGCUUCCCUCACGGCUCCCAGUUAACCCUGUCACACUCUGCCUGGUCUCCAUUUAUUUCACACUGCUCGAGAUUUUAAAAAGAGAAGAAGAAGAAGAAGAAGAAGAAGAAGAAUAGCAAACAGAACUCUGGGCCGCCUCCAAGUUUCCUAAACGCCCCUUCUCCGGCUGUUAUGAAGGAAAAGGCGGCGGGCUGAUCGGCUCAGUCACUCAGCGCAGGUGUGAAACCAGAAGCGAAGAGAGGAUGGCUCUGCGGCCGGGGAACGGGACUGUGACGGAGUGGGGGAACCUCAGCGUGGAAGUUAGCGACUACAACGUGAGCUGCACGAACCGCUCCGUCCUCAGCAGACCCGCCAGAGCCAGAGGAAACCAGACCUCAUGAGAGAGUUGUCUUGUGGAGAGUCAAAAAGAGGAUUGCUAAUGGAGAUAGCGGUGACUGAAGCUCCAAGCAGAAUGAUCGUCGUGCAUUUUGAGUCCACCAGCUUACAUCAGACAUGACACAUUUUGAGCAAAAACUCUGAACCUAAACUCUUAUGAUGUUGUUCAGUGAACAAAGCAUGAUUUUUAAUCUUUAAUUCCACACUAUAGGAAGUUUAAGGGAAAUGCAUUUAAAAAGCUGAAGCGCUACAGUGCAGUCGAUGCACACAGUACAAAUACAUUCUCUGAAAUCACACAGUGAAGUGGGCCUUGUUUAAUCUACAAAGUAGCUUCAGUUAUUUAGCAACAAUCAGUUUCAUCAACUCAAAAAUGAGAGAACAUUUCAAGUAAAGCCAUACUGGCUUUUACAGUGUAGAUGUAGAUUCAUAUUAAUUAGUAACUGUCUUCAGUCAUGGGUGGAGGUUUUGUUUGCACAUUAGGAGGUUGGGCAUUAAGUGGGGACCAGAGGGAUGCUCACCCUGGAAACUUUAUGCAGAGUUUUGACUCACUUGAAUGCUAAAUUUAUCUUUUGUUUACUUUGUGUUAGAAUAUGUAUUUAUGUAAAAGAAAACAAAAAUCUGCAGUCCCUGUGUCGACGGUUAUGUUAUCUGUCCCUUGCAUCACUCCUGAAAUCUCUGUUUUCAGUACAGAAUGUCUACUUUAAUCAUUUGUGCAUUCCUUUAGGCUUAGUCCCUCAAUGAACAGAACAUAUGAUAUAUGAAGGAGACAGAAAGAGCUUGGAGCCUUUUAAUAUACAUAGAUUAAUUCCAUAUCUUCUAUAUGUUAUUUUAUAAAACAAUAUCCAUCAACAAGAAUAAUUACAGGCACACUGUUGUUGUCUCAAAUGUUCCUCUGUUGUCUGAAAAUAUCAUGUAAAUAUCAGUGUUGUUAAAUAAUAAAGUUUUAUGUCGUUUCUUUUACAUUAUUUUUAUAUAAGGCAUUCAAAACACUUAGACACAAAAAAGUCCUGAUAGUCUUGGGAAUAUUUCAACUCACCAAGUAUUGGCGACUCAUUAAAACUGCUACAACUUCUAAUCAUUUUCUUUAAACUAUGUGAAAAAGCACAGUGGCUGAGGAGAUGCUCUGCAAGUACACUUCAUGGAUUAUAAGAACUUUUGAGCACAAAGAGUUGUACAUCAACUGCACUUUUUUAGAAAGCAAUGAAACUUUAAAACUCUAUUUCUGAAAAAUUACUUGAAGAACUAAAUAUGAGUGCCACAAAUUGCAGAAUGACUGAAAUCAAACAGCUCUCAUCUCAGGGUGGCUCCAGUGACACCUGCUGCUAACAGUAUGCCUGAAAGGGUCACAGCAGUGUUGGCUACAGCACCGUUAAACGUCUUGUCGUGGGUGUAGGUGACGAUGUACAAAACUCCUCUGUAGGCCUCCUCGCACGUAGGCUGGAUCUGAUCCUCAGGAAGCUCAAACCUGUAUCUCCCAUUGUCUCUCAGCUCAAAGGUGUAGGUUAAAGGGA